ACUCCUACGGGAGGCAGCAGUGAGGAAUAUUGGACAAUGGGUGGAAGCCUGAUCCAGCCAUCCCGCGUGCAGGAAGACGGCCCUAUGGGUUGUAAACUGCUUUUAUCUGGGGAUAAACCUACUUACGUGUAAGUAGCUGAAGGUACCAGAAGAAUAAGCACCGGCUAACUCCGUGCCAGCAGCCGCGGUAAUACGGAGGGUGCAAGCGUUAUCCGGAUUUAUUGGGUUUAAAGGGUCCGUAGGCGGACUGAUAAGUCAGUGGUGAAAUCCGACAGCUUAACUGUCGAACUGCCAUUGAUACUGUUAGUCUUGAGUAAGGUUGAAGUGGCUGGAAUAAGUAGUGUAGCGGUGAAAUGCAUAGAUAUUACUUAGAACACCAAUUGCGAAGGCAGGUCACUAAGUCUUAACUGACGCUGAUGGACGAAAGCGUGGGGAGCGAACAGGAUUAGAAACCCCUGUAGUCCCAUGA
rnacentral:rRNA from 1 species